UACGGAGGGUGCAAGCGUUAUCCGGAUUUACUGGGUUUAAGGGGUGCGCAGGCGGAUAUGUAAGUCAGUGGUGAAAUCUCCGGGCUUAACCCGGAACUGCCGUUGAUACUAUAUAUCUUGAAUGCUGUGGAGGUAAGCAGAAUAUGUCAUGUAGCGGUGAAAUGCUUAGAGAUGACAUAGAAUACCUAUUGCGAAGGCAGCUUACUACGCAGAUAUUGACGCUCAUGCACGAAAGCGUGGGGAUCAAACAGG
rnacentral:rRNA from 1 species